rnacentral:rRNA from 1 species
AGUAAAUAGAUACCCGGGUAGUCCAUGCCGUAAACGUUGGGCACUAGGUGUGGGGGACAUUCCACGUUUUCCGCGCCGUAGCUAAACGCAUUAAAGUGCCCCGCCUGGGGAGUACGGCCGCAAGGCUAAAACUCAAAGGAAUUGACGGGGGCCCGCACAAGCGGCGGAGCAUGCGGAUUAAUUCGAUGCAACGCGAAGAACCUUACCAAGGCUUGACAUGGACCGGAUCGCCGCAGAAAUGUGGUUUCUCCUUUUGGGGCCGGUUCACAGGUGGUGCAUGGUUGUCGUCAGCUCGUGUCGUGAGAUGUUGGGUUAAGUCCCGCAACGAGCGCAACCCUCGUUCCAUGUUGCCAGCGCGUAAUGGCGGGGACUCAUGGGAGACUGCCGGGGUCAACUCGGAGGAAGGUGGGGACGACGUCAAAUCAUCAUGCCCCUUAUGUCUUGGGCUUCACGCAUGCUACAAUGGCCGGUACAAAGGGUUGCGAUACUGUGAGGUGAGCUAAUCCCAAAAAGCCGGUCUCAGUUCGGAUUGGGGUCUGCAACUCGACCCC